CAGGAAAUUUGCUGAAGUCUUACUGUUGAAAGAGAAGAUAAGAGGACAUGACUGCACCUCACUCUUUGUGCCUGUUAGAGCCCCAGAACUGCCUCGGUGCUGCUGGUUGGACAGUUAUUCUCACCAACAAGAAGGCAGACCACGGUGAGUCCAUCUGCAGCUGGUCCGGCUUACUGAGGGGAAAAGAGAAGACUUCCCCUUGUAACCUGGCUGGAAGCCUUCCCAAGAAAGAACCUGGAAGGCAUUACAGAUGCUUGAGUCAGCUUCCAAUGAAGAGUUCUCAAAGUAGCAAGAUCACCUGCAUCAGAAUCCGCCGGGGGCUGUUCAUCAUGCCAAUUCCAGGGCCCCAGUUCUAG
rnacentral:lncRNA from 1 species